UCCUGUGAGCUGAACAUACUUUCACAUCUAAUUUUUCUUUCAGGCUUUAGAUCUAGCAUACCAGGCAAAUCCUCAGAACAAUAGCCGGAGACGAUGUCCUACAUGCUUCCAAUCAACUCGUUUUUUUGAGAUUAUCCAGCAGCUUUCUGAUCCAGAUGUUAGACGGGUUGUCGUCAUCGAUUGCCAUAGUAGACGGGUGGAAGGCGUAAUUUCAUUGAGAGACGUUGCCCGAUAUUUUCUUGAUUGAUACCUUGUAAAUAAUCCCAUCUUGUCUCUGUUGUCUAUUAUCAACAUUUGAACUCAGCAAAUAAAUGAUGAGCAGUCUUUAAGUUAUUCGAUUGAUGAUAGAUGCUGCUGUGGGUUUAAAAUCCUCUGAUUACAAACUGUACAAAGCAAACACCAUAUCAAGAAAUACAGCUAGCAUCAAAUCUUCAGAGAUAUACUGCCAGAUGCCCAAUUUUCUGCUGCUCGAUGGCAUAAGACAACAUUGCAGGCUGCAACCAAGAACAAGUUAUCAAGACCUAGGAAACUGAAUUCGAAAAAAAGAUGAAACGUGUUAUUGUUGUUGUUUAAGCUGGGAUCAUUUAGAUUUUGCAGACGAUUCUGUAGACAGUGGAGAUGAAUUGGACUCUGGCAAUUGAUCACCCCUUGGUACAGGCUGCUGAAGGCGGUGUCGCCGAGCUCAUUUAUCAAUCAUGUCUUUGGUGUAAAGAUGACUGAUGUUCAUUAUGAUUAGAGAAAAAAAGACAUGAUGUAAAGAUGACUGAUGUUCAUUAUGAUUAGAGAAAAAAAACAUCGAUUGUGACGAUACUUUUAGAGUGAUGUAUAUUUUUGCAAGAGGUA